AAUUCUAAUUGAAAAGGAAGAUGACUGGAGCGUGGAGUUGAGAGCCCAGGGGCAGAGUCAAGAGCGGCCUUGUGGGCUUACAGCUCUCCCUUGCCAGGACCAUGCAGAUGCUCAGCCCAUUCAGGAGAGCCAGGAAGUGCUGCAGACUUAACGCACUGAAAGGCAACCCUCAAAUGAUAAGGAACAGGAAUCAGUGAUAAAUAUGCCAGUUUCCAUUUUUCCCGAGAAGCUGAUGACUUCAAAGUCACUUGGCAUAGUGUCCGGUUUCUUCUGUGAUCUAUGGGAUGGCUGAGUCCACAGUGGGAGUCCAGCAGCAGUACCUUUUGCACUGAAUUCCUGAUUGAUUCUGUUGAACUCCUAUCAGAGUUUAUUGCCAUCAGGGAUUCAGCAGACCAAGACCACACAUCAUGUGAGGGGCUCCAAAGAAGCUCUUGAAAUUAGCUCGUGGAGAAAUUUUGCUUGAACAGCAGGUUCCAAGCAAACUGUGACACAGAGAAAAUUUGUCUUUACCCAGCUCUUUUCCCUUCUUCUGGUUCCCCAGAUCUCUCAGAUUGUAAUUAAGAGAUUAAAAGUGUUCCAUUCACCUCCUUUUAAAGACUACCAACUGCCUGAACACCUUUGAUUACUAAUCCACGUCACAGUAUAUUAUAAUCUACAUGCUCGUGUGGUUAUAGCUCUUAUAAAACCCUGGGCUUCUGGAGGUCAGGCAAGUGUAUCCUACUUACCCUUACAUCUUUGGGCACUGUUACGGUGUUGCAAUAGUCAGCACUCAAUAAAUGUUGAAUACAUACGUAAAUAAAAAACAUAUAGAUUUUCUAUGUGCUUCUAUGUUUUUGAAAUUUCAUUGAACAGAGAAGCACAUAUUUCCUAGAAAAGACUAUACUCUGCGAGUUUUAGACCAACUGGAAGCGUAGAAAACUUAACACACAUCUCAAGAUUGUUCUGAUUCAGUCAUGCAACCAGAAGUGUUCUUGCCCUAUAGUUGUGCCAUACUUUAUAGUUUAAAAGGCACAGGCACUACCUUUUCUCUUAUUUGACAUUUCUAAUGAGCUUGUGAGAUAAGUGUUAAUCUGCAAAUUUUACCCAUGAGAAGAUUGGUGCUCAGAGAGAUUAAGUGACAUCUCAGACAAUGCACAGAUAGCAGUAUCCCAAGUCAGCACUGGAGCUUUAGUGUUUUGAGGAUAACUCAGUGUUUUUUAAAUUAUCAUUCAUAGACUGCCAGCUCUGUCACCUUUGGACCUAGUGAAGUCUCUGUUGGUAAUGCAAUGCCAUUUUGGAUGCAAACUCAAUUGAAAUGUUUUAAAGCACGAGACUUAUGUUAGUGUCCCAUUAUUCUAAGAAUUAUGCAGUAAAUAACUGGAAAAAUAUGCCUGUAUUUCAGACUUUAUGCUAAUAGCACACACAUUGCAAAACAGAAUCACUAAAAUACUGUUAACUCUCUUCUGAUACAGUCUAUGCAAAACAUACUAUACACUCUAAACUUUUCACUUAAACUCAGCGUGACAUAAUAGCAAUAGAAAAAUUCAGUAAGUGAAGAUACCUGCAGCCUAUUCAAUUUACGUAUUUGCUUUAUCUAUAGUACUAGGCAAAUAGGAAACUUUGUCAUACCUAUGUAGUGUUUACAAAGAAAUGCUUGGCAAACUAGCAAACCAAAUGUGUGUUGUGCCAUAAAUUUGGAAAUUUGACUUUUUAUAACCUUAGGCAUUGUGAGAUUCUCUACAGUUCUUCUAAAUCCUUUUGCUUUAUGGUUUUCAUAUAUCUGAAAAGAUAAAUAUAUACAAAAUUGGAUAUUUUCCAAGCAAUGUGUCUUUCAUUUGUAUUUCCUGAGGAGCUCAGCUAUAUGCAGUAAUGUACUCAUAUUUUAGAAUGCUGACUAUGGAAUAAAGUACUACAUUUAAA
rnacentral:lncRNA from 1 species